GGAGGCGCGGAGGGGCGGCAGGCGGCAGCGGAGGCGUUGGCGGCCGAAGGGACAUCCAGGGCGCCGGCGAGGAGCGGCGCGGUGCCGUUGUUGCCCAGCAGGCAUGAAAAUCAGUGCAAUAUUGUGGCACUUAAGACAUAUGACAAGUUGCACCAAAAGUGGAGUUUAUCCAGAAGUUCCUUGUUCAUCCAUGCAGGCCUCCUGGCAUUUUUGCCUGACUUCAUCUUUGUUGGAAUGCAUCACUGCUGAGCUUGGGGU